rnacentral:tRNA from 1 species
AGAUUAAUAGUUUAAAUAAAAUAUUUAAUUUGCAUUUAAAUGAUAUUAGAAAAUUAAUUUAAUUUA